rnacentral:lncRNA from 1 species
AUAUUAAUCAAAGUCGAAGCCUUUGUCUAAUCUCCUUUUUGUAAAACAUUAUUUUUGUAAUAUUCUUAACUUAAUUAAUGAUCACUUCCAUUAUGCUACCAUUUUAUGCGCACCAUGUUUUUAAAUGCAAUAGCCCACAACGAAAUAGUUAACUAUACAUCAAUUUCUCUUGAAGUUAGAAGGAAGUCCCUGUUAUUUGUAAUUUUAUACACCAUACAUCUAUGAAGUUUCUUAUUUCUUAUUUAACUCUUCUAUAGAAGAUGCUAUUCCUAAAGGUUGUUGUUGACACCCAAAAAGCUCCUCGGUAGACAUGUUCCUCUCCGGCACAUCACUUGGUGGAUCUAGAGGGGCAACCAUCAGCUUAUGAAAAAGGGCAACUAAACUGGCUGCUAUUGUUCCUUACCAAGAGUAAUUUCCCCAGUGCCUAACAUACAAUUUGGUUUGUUGCAUCAUGAUAAGGUCUUCAUGAUGUGCACAGGCAUGCGUAUUUUUACAUUUAAUCUGUUUUCCUAUCUUACAUCCAUGCAUUCACAUAUUAGAGGAUAAAUAUGUUGCAGGCUCUUAUCUACAUGCAUGAAUGUUAAAUCUGUAUCCAAUGGUAAAGUUGGCUUUAUCAGGUGACCUGGGCUAGACCUUUCCACAUAUAUACUGUAUUAUUGGCGCACAAUAUAUUUCUAUUCUAAAUUUUUGACUUUAUCAAAUUUAUAUUGCAGGAAAAAGGAUCAUGGAAUAACAUGCGAGGUGUAUAUUGUUGUUAGCAUCUGCUUAUUUUGAUGCAUUCUAUUUGCAUACAUAUACCAAGUUUUUCGUCAAAUACAUAUAUUGCAGGACAAUGGAUGAUCGAGUAGCACUCAAGAUGGCAAGGUGGUUGAGAUUUACGAACUGUUGUAUCUUGAGGACUCAUGAUGCAGUUGUAUGUUGAUACAUGUAGAUUUAUGACUAUUGCCAUAUCAUCCAGUGUAUCUAUCUAUCUAUGUCUCCUUAACUUCAACAUAUUUACCUUGAAUAAUUAUGGUUUAAUACAUGUUCUUUCUCUAUUAGUGAUCUGAGUUUUAUUGGUUUACACCCCCUUGGUUCAAACAUUAUUAUUCUCUACUUUAGACAUUUAUAUAACUAAA